rnacentral:rRNA from 1 species
AAAUACUGCUUGAGUGUGAAAUGAAGUGUGGAUACAAAGACAGCCAGGAGGUUGGCUUAGAAGCAGCCAUUCCUUAAAAGAGUGCGUAAUAGCUCACUGGUCGAGUAUACAUGCGCAGAUAAUGUAACGGGGCUAAGCAGUAUACCGAAGCUACGGGUCUUAUGCAUUAUAAGCAUAAGGCGGUAGGGGAGCAUUCCAUGGACUGAUGAAGGUGUACCUGAGAGGGGCACUGGAGGGGAUGGAAGAGAGAAUGCAGGUAUAAGUACACGAAAAGAAAGGUGAGAUUCCUUUCCGCCGAAAACCUAAGGUUUCCUGGGUAAAGGUCAUCUGCCCAGGGUUAGUCGGCCCCUAAGGCGAGGGCGAAAGCCGUAGUCGAUGGGAAAUCGGUUCAUAUUCCGAUACCUUUUAUAAUUUCGAUGGCAGGACGCAUGAGGCGACCCCCGGCCGGAGAACGGUUGUUCCGGUCGAAGUUUUCAAGCCGUUAUGAAGGAUAGUAGGCAAAUCCGCUAUCCAAGGUGAGAAGCGACAGCGAGUGGAUCGAUGAGAGAAGCGAAGCGGGAGUAGUCAUGGUGCCGGGAAAUACUGUCUAAGGCUAGGUUAUAAAAGACCGUACCGUAAACCGACACAGGUAGGUAGGAUGAGAAAUCUAAGGCGCUCGAGAGAACUCGCGUUAAGGAACUCGGCAAAAUGCACACGUAACUUAGGGAAAAGUGUGGCCUCUGUUUAGUAAUGAGUGGAGGUAGCAUAAAGCAGGCCCAGGCGACUGUUUAUCAAAAACACAGCCAUCUGCGAAUCAGUAAUGAGACGUAUAGGUGGUGACACCUGCCCGGUGCCGGAAGGUUAAGAGGAGCGGUGAGCAGUAAUGCGAAGCUGUCAAUUGAAGCCCCGGUAAACGGCGGCCGUAACUAUAACGGUCCUAAGGUAGCGAAAUUCCUUGUCGGGUAAGUUCCGACCCGCACGAAUGGUGUAACGAUUCUGGGCACUGUCUCAACGCGAGACUCGGUGAAAUUUAUAUACCGGUAAAGAAGCCGGUUACCCAUAGUUAGACGGUAAGACCCCGUGAACCUUCACCGUAACUUACUAUUGGGACUUGGUUUAUCAUGUGUAGAAUAGGUGGGAAACUGUGAAGCUUGCUCGUUAGGGUGAGUGGAGUUGAAAGGUGAAAUACCACCCUUGAUGAAUUAGGUUUCUAACCUGUUCCGUGAAGCCGGAAUGGGAACAGUGGUAGGCAGGCGGUUUGACUGGGGCGGUCGCCUCCUAAAGAGUAACGGAGGUGCGCGAAGGUCUCCUCACGUCGGUUGGAAAUCGACGCAGUGAGUGUAAAGGCACAAGGAGGCUUAACUGCAAGAGUGACAGCUCAAGCAGAUACGAAAGUAGGUCUUAGUGAUCUGGCGGUAGCGAGUGGAAGCGCCGUCACUUAACGGAUAAAAGGUACUCCGGGGAUAACAGGCUGAUUUUCCCCAAGAGUUCACAUCGACGGG